GAUGAACGCUGGCGGCGUGCCUAAUACAUGCAAGUCGAGCGAACAGACGAGGAGCUUGCUCCUCUGACGUUAGCGGCGGACGGGUGAGUAACACGUGGAUAACCUACCUAUAAGACUGGGAUAACUUCGGGAAACCGGAGCUAAUACCGGAUAAUAUAUUGAACCGCAUGGUUCAAUAGUGAAAGACGGCUUUGCUGUCACUUAUAGAUGGAUCCGCGCCGCAUUAGCUAGUUGGUAAGGUAACGGCUUACCAAGGCAACGAUGCGUAGCCGACCUGAGAGGGUGAUCGCCCACACUGGAACUGAGACACGGUCCAGACUCCUACGGGAGGCAGCAGUAGGGAAUCUUCCGCAAUGGGCGAAAGCUUGACGGAGCAACGCCGCGUGGGUGAUGAAGGUCUUCGGAUCGUAAAACUCUGUUAUUAGGGAAGAACAAAUGUGUAAGUAACUGUGCCCGUCUUGACGGUACCUAAUCAGAAAGCCACGGCUAACUACGUG
rnacentral:rRNA from 1 species